UACGGAGGUGGCAAGCGUCGCUCGGAAUCACUGGGCGUAAAGGGCGCGUAGGCGGCCGUUCAAGUCGGGGGUGAAAGCCUGUGGCUCAACCACAGAAUGGCCCUCGAUACUGGAUGGCUCGAGACCGGAAGAGGUUGGUGGAACUGCGAGUGUAGAGGUGAAAUUCGUAGAUAUUCGCAAGAACACCAGUGGCGAAGGCGGCCAACUGGUCCGGUUCUGACGCUGAGGCGCGAAAGCGUGGGGAGCAAACAGG
rnacentral:rRNA from 1 species